rnacentral:rRNA from 1 species
CGGUAACAGGCCCAUUCGGGGGCGCUGACGUAGUUGGCGGACGGGCGAGUAACGCGNUAGGUAAUUUGCCCAGCUAGUGGGGGACAACUUGGGGAAACCCAAGCUAAUACCGCAUACGCCCUACGGGGGAAAGCGGGGGAUCUUCGGACCUCGCGCUAUUGGAUGAGCCUGCGUCGGAUUAGCUAGUUGGUAGGGUAAAGGCCUACCAAGGCGACGAUCCGUAGCUGGUUUGAGAGAACGAUCAGCCACACUGGGACUGAGACACGGCCCANACUCCUACGGGAGGCAGCAGUGGGGAAUAUUGCACAAUGGGGGCAACCCUGAUGCAGCAAUGCCGCGUGUGUGAAGAAGGCCUGCGGGUUGUAAAGCACUUUCAAUUGGGAAGAAAAGCUCAGGGCUAAUACCCCUGAUUCUUGACGUUACCUUUAGAAGAAGCACCGGCUAACUCCGUGCCAGCANCCGCGGUAAUACGGAGGGUGCGAGCGUUAAUCGGAAUUACUGGGCGUAAAGCGCGCGUAGGUGGUUUGUUAAGUCAGAUGUGAAAGCCCCGGGCUCAACCUGGGAACUGCAUUUGAUACUGGCAGGCUAGAGUAUGGUAGAGGGAAGUGGAAUUCCGGGUGUAGCGGUGAAAUGCGUANAUAUCCGGAAGAACACCAGUGGCGAAGGCGGCUUCCUGGACCAAUACUGACGCUGAGGUGCGANAGCNUGGG